rnacentral:rRNA from 1 species
AGAACGAACGCUGGCGGCAUGCCUAAUACAUGCAAGUCGAACGAACACUUCGGUGUUAGUGGCGCACGGGUGCGUAACGCGUGGGAAUCUGCCCUUGGGUUCGGAAUAACAGUUGGAAACGACUGCUAAUACCGGAUGAUAUCGAAAGAUCAAAGAUUUAUCGCCCAGGGAUGAGCCCGCGUAGGAUUAGCUAGUUGGUGAGGUAAAGGCUCACCAAGGCGACGAUCCUUAGCUGGUCUGAGAGGAUGAUCAGCCACACUGGGACUGAGACACGGCCCAGACUCCUACGGGAGGCAGCAGGUAGGGAAUAGUUGGACAAUGGGCGCAAGCCUGAUCCAGCAAUGCCGCGUGAGUGAUGAACGGUCUUAGGGUUAGUAAAGCUUCUUUACCCGAGAUGGUAAUGACAGUAUCGGGAGAAGUAACGCCCCGGACUUAACCUCCGUGCCAAGCACGACCGUC